rfam:Archaeoglobus profundus DSM 5631, complete genome.
GCCGGGAUUGCAGAGUGGUACUGCGCGGGCCUUGAGAGCCCGUGCCCUUCGGGGCUCCGGGGUUCGAAUCCCCGUCCCGGCG